rnacentral:lncRNA from 1 species
UUUUCCCCUGGCAGCCUGAGACCAAACCAUUAGGAUGGAAAUCCCCCGCCCCCGAGUUCUCUCAACUGAAGAAGGGAGCAGAUGCAUUCUCAGAACCGUAGUGGGUCCCGAGGAGAAGGUUCUAGAACUCCCAGGUGCCGACGAGGGCUGCAGAAGUUCCACGGCAGUUGGGGCCACUCCUAGAAAGGGAGCCAUUUCCUUUGUGGUCUUGGAAAGAGCUGUCUGUCCGUUGGCCCUGCCUACGACUUGAGAAGACAUCAGCUCAACUGGACAGAGGUUUCGAGUGGUUCCAGAGACGGCUGGGGAGCGAGCCCCCGGCACACGGUGCGGCGUCAGCGUCUCCGUGCGUGACGG